UACAGAGGGGGCAAGCGUUAUUCGGAAUUAUUGGGCGUAAAGGGCGCGUAGGCGGCCUGGCAAGUGGAAGGUGAAAUCCCUCGGCUUAACCGAGGAACUGCCCUCCAAACUGCUUGGCUUGAGUCCGGGAGAGGUGAGUGGAAUUCCCAGUGUAGCGGUGAAAUGCGUAGAUAUUGGGAGGAACACCAGUGGCGAAGGCGGCUCACUGGACCGGUACUGACGCUGAGGCGCGAAAGCGUGGGGAGCAAACGGG
rnacentral:rRNA from 1 species